rnacentral:rRNA from 1 species
CGGCACGCCUAACACAUGCAAGUCGAACGCAGUAGCAAUACUGAGUGGCAAACGGGUGAGUAUAAUGUAGGAAUCUGCCUUUUGGUUUGGAAUAACACGGGGAAACUUGUGCUAAUACCGAAUAAGCCUUCACAGGGAAAGUUUUAACGCCGAAAGAUGAGCCUGCACUUGAUUAGCUAGUUGGUAAGGUAAAAGCUUACCAAGGCAACGAUCAAUAGCUGUUCUUAGAGGAAGACCAGCCACAUUGGGACUGAGACACGGCCCAGACUCCUACGGGAGGCAGCAGUGGGGAAUCUUGCACAAUGGGGGAAACCCUGAUGCAGCGAUGCCGCGUGAGUGAAGAAGGCCUUUGGGUUGUAAAACUCUUUCGUCGGGGAAGAAAAUGACUGUACCCGAAUAAGAAGGUCCGGCUAACU